rnacentral:lncRNA from 1 species
CUUCCAGUGAUACUUUUUCUUUGUGAGCAGCAACUGAGGUGCCAGAUAAUAUAGGUCACCUGAAGGACAAGCCGUCAGAAUUGGAGAUCAGAGCCGCUCAGGCCGGCCGCCAGCUCGUUAGGGAACCGCACACUCAGCUCCCACCCAGCUCGGGACGCCCAGCGGGAGCUUCCCUUGCAAACACCAGCAGACACCAUUUUGCAGAACUCUUAAGAAACGCGGGUUAAAUGUGUUAGGUACAACGCAUGCAGCCAAGACGGGCAUGGAGAGCGAGAGGGCUGGCCCGGGGGGGAAGCAAACCUCCUGAUGAUGGGAUUGCUCUUGCUGGGGGCUUUGUAAACAGCCUUGCAUCUCACACCUCUGCCAGGCAACAAAAUGGUGGUGGCUAGAAAAAAUAAAUAAAUAAAUAAACAACGCGGGGGUGGGGGGAAGGUGGCACCAGGUAGGUACCAGAGAUGGACUUUUCUACAAUUUUCUUGGGCUGUCCGUUACCAACAGUUAUUCUCUCUCUUUUUCUUUCUUCCUUUCCUUCUCUGUCUCUCUCUUUCUCCACCCCCCUCCCUCUCUCUCUCUCUUCCCCCUCCCUCCCUCUCUCUUAUUCUCCUUGUUACAUUCUCUGCAGUAAUCUUCCCCCUCCUACUGAAGGGGGCGGAAGACCCAGCUGAUUUGACUCCAGCUCCCCCUCCUCAGCCUUGCAAAUUCCUUAUUGAGCAUAAUUUCUGAUUUGUUUCUAUGUAUCUUAAGGGGUGAGGUGCUGAGGCAAGUUAAGAGUUCGGGUUAUCUUGUUUGCCUGUUUUGGUGCACUGAACAUAUUUACGAAAUGAAAAAGCUCCUUUCUAAAUGGGUGUUAACUGCUCUAAGAUUCCCAGGAAACGUGUUGAAGGGACAUCUAAAUGGAAAUUGUGCAGUAUUACUCCAUUGCACCUUUUAGGAAGAAAACAAUUGUGGCUACUCUGUUGGGCUCUGGUGGCAGUGUAGUAGUGAGUGAUUUGUGUGACUGCGGCACAUUCAUUUUCCUUUUCUAUUAUAAUCUCACCUUCCUUAAGGAAUAAAUGAGACCAUACAGUAAAGGGCUAAGCAAAGUUGCAUGACACAGCUUCGGUAGCAGCUGUUACUGUUUUAUUAUGUCUUUGCUUCAAGCUCUCUCCCUGGGCCUGGAGCUUAGCUUCUGCACACAAAUGCUUGAUGGAGAGAGCUCUGUGUUAUCUGAAUCCAGAAAUUCUACAGCAGAGGUUUGGCUCCACCUCACCAUUGAUUUCCUUUCGGUGAUUUUGUAAGUCAUCACUUUGUAAUGCAAUUUCUCUCUGUAUGAAACAAACGAGUAUUUUUUUUUACCACCCCUUCUGAGACUGUUGAUAAAACACACUCGACAAACGUUUUACAGCACCCUUGUGAGGCACUAA